rfam:Caldithrix abyssi DSM 13497 chromosome, whole genome shotgun sequence.
CCUGGUAUAUCCCUACCAGUACCUUAGGAAGGCAUGCUACCGUUCGGCAGGUUCACAGCUUGCCGUUGAAAUGGCAACGGGGUGUGAAGCCCUUCUGGUAAUAUACCGAAUCGGGUUGAGUUCGCGAGAAUGAAACCCUUCUCCGAAUCCCACGGAGUCAAAGGG